UCUCGGGCUCCUGAGAGCCGGCAGGAAGGCUCGCUGCUCAUGGCAUAAAGUAAACACCAGCGGUGGGCAGCAUAAAUCUUCUGGGUGAAGGAAUUAUUAGUGGCACGUUGACCUGGUAUGGACUGUGGCCAGUUGAGAGGCGUUAUUGAUGGCGUUGCUCAUUCUCCAGGCGCAGAAGAGGGCCGCCUUUGACGUAAAUAUAAACACACCAGGCACGCUCUCAAUAACAAUUGUCAGCCACGGCCCAGCUUCCACUAGCAUUCCCCCUUGGUCCGGCUCUUUGACACCGUACUUAAGACUAAACACGCACGGUGAAUUCUAACAACGUCGAGGGCUUGGAAUCUCAGGCCAUCUGUCAGACGAAGGCCGCUUCUCAUCCGCUCGGUGAGAGACCAACCAAAACUCGCGCCAGGACCGCCGCAUGUUUCCUUUCCCCAGAUCGAAGGCCUCUUCCUAGCGAAGGACAUUUCAGUUCCCUUUCUUCUCCCCACCCCGAGGCCUUUCACUGACCCACGCGUCCCCGGCCGGGGCCUGCGCGCGAGCUCUUUCGGUUCUGCGGCCGACACGGAGCCCGUUCUCCCGCGCGGCUCUUCCUUCCUUCCCUCGCCUGUGUCCCAGACGGUCUUCAAAGGCCAGAGUCCCACUGUUUGCCCCGACCUCUCCCACCAGCCCUGACCCCGGCCACCUCUCCCUCAUCUCAACUCCUGCAGGCUUGUUUAUUUCUUUUAGGCCGUGAAUAGCAGACAGACCCAGCUCAAAUUGGCUGGGGGAAAAGAGAUGCUCGUUGGCCUGCAAACACGACACAGCUCAUUCUGCCUCCCUGCUAAGCCGCGCCGGGGCUCUGUUCUUUUUCUCGCAGACGCUAGAACCUCAUUCUCUGUGACCAGAUCUGCGGUCCCUGUGUGGUGGCAAAGCCAGGACAUUUCUCCAGCUUACCUCAGUAUAGCCUCUGAUGCGUGGUCAUGAUUGCAGGAGACGAGAAUUCCGCUUGCUGAAAUUUUUAGAAAUAUUCACUUUGAUGAAGUGAGAUCGAGAUUCAAAGCAUUUGUCAAAAUAUUAAUACUAUUUCCCCAUGCAACCAGAAAACUAGAACUGAGAGCCACAGUGCAGAAAUCUGAGGGAGCACCUGUCCUUCACUGUCCCUCUGUUCUGAUGAGAUGGGCCUUCCUCGUGCUGGAGCCUGUUCUGCGCUUGGCCUGUGGCCCUCUCCAAGAAGAGAGGGAAGGGAACAAAGAAAGAAAAGCCCCGAGUCCCUGCGGACACACUCACUG